rnacentral:snoRNA from 1 species
GCGCGUUGAUGAUGAUCUUUAUCCCUUAAACAUUCGCAGUGUUCUUGCCGACAGUGCCCGGGUCGCCACCUGGGCUUGCUGGGUGACGCUUGAAUUUUCCUUGGAUGUCUGAGCGC